rnacentral:rRNA from 1 species
AUGAACGCUGGCGGCGUGCCUAAUACAUGCAAGUCGAGCGAACAGACGAGGAGCUUGCCCCUCUGACGUUAGCGGCGGACGGGUGAGUAACACGUGGAUAACCUACCUAUAAGACUGGGAUAACUUCGGGAAACCGGAGCUAAUACCGGAUAAUAUAUUGAACCGCAUGGUUCAAUAGUGAAAGACGGUUUUGCUGUCACUUAUAGUUGGAUCCGCGCCGCAUUAGCUAGUUGGUAAGGUAACGGCUUACCAAGGCAACGAUGCGUAGCCGACCUGAGAGGGUGAUCGGCCACACUGGAACUGAGACACGGACCAGACUCCUACGGGAGGCAGCAGUAGGGAAUCUUCCGCAAUGGGCGAAAGCUUGACGGAGCAACGCCGCGUGAGUGAUGAAGAUCUUCGGAUCGUAAAACUCUGUUAUUAGGGAAGAACAAAUGUGUAAGUAACUAUGCACGUCUUGACGGUACCUAAUCAGAAAGCCACGGCUAACUACGUG